rnacentral:rRNA from 1 species
AACGAACGCUGGCGGCAUGCCUAACACAUGCAAGUCGAACGAGACCUUCGGGUCUAGUGGCGCACGGGUGCGUAACGCGUGGGAACCUGCCCUUAGGUUCGGAAUAACUCCCCGAAAGGGGUGCUAAUACCGGAUAAUGUCUUCGGACCAAAGAUUUAUCGCCUUUGGAUGGGCCCGCGUUGGAUUAGCUAGUUGGUAGGGUAAAAGCCUACCAAGGCGACGAUCCAUAGCUGGUCUGAGAGGAUGAUCAGCCACACUGGGACUGAGACACGGCCCAGACUCAUACGGGAGGCAGAAGUGGGGAAUAUUGGACAAUGGGCGAAAGCCUGAUCCAGCAAUGCCGCGUGAGUGAUGAAGGCCUUAGGGUUGUAAAGCUCUUUUACCCGGGAUGAUAAUGACAGUACCGGGAGAAUAAGCUCCGGCUAACUCCGUG